rnacentral:misc_RNA from 1 species
CCUUACAGUUGUGUCCCUUGCCCUGAGUUUCGCAAGGGGACAUGCCAGAAGGCUGACUCCUGUGAAUAUGCACAUGGCGUUUUUGAGUCAUGGCUGCAUCCUUGCAUAGCCGGGUUCGAUAUUGAGCAGGAUGCAGCCAUGACUCAAAAACACCAUGUGCAUAUUCACAGGCAUCACCCUUUUGGCAUGUCCCCUUGCGGAACUCAGGGCAAGGGACACAACUGUAAGG